UCAUUGGUAGUUCAGUGGUAGAAUUCUGACUUUCCAUGUGGGAGACCAGGAUUGAAUUCCUGGCCAGUGGA
rnacentral:tRNA from 1 species